rnacentral:rRNA from 1 species
UACGUAGGGACCAAGCGUUGUUCGGAUUUACUGGGCGUAAAGGGCGCGUAGGCGGCCAUUCAAGUCAGCUGUGAAAUCUCCGGGCUUAACUCGGAACGGUCAGCUGAUACUGCUUUGCUAGAGUGCAGAAGGGGCAAUCGGAAUUCUUGGUGUAGCGGUGAAAUGCGUAGAUAUCAAGAGGAACACCUGAGGUGAAGACGGGUUGCUGGGCUGACACUGACGCUGAGUGCGCGAAAGCUAGGGUAGCAAACGGG